UGCCAUGUGUGCUGGAUUCUUUCAGCCAUUGCCUCCAACCAGUUGCGUUGUGGAUAAUGCUGUUACACACUGUGUGCGGCUUUUGCCUAUUGAGAUGCCUGUCCAAAUCUGUCGCUGUCCACCUGAGGCAUUGAGGGUCAUCCAAGGAAAGUCAGUUGCUUUGGUCACAAUGAAUGGGCGGUAUGAUCUCAACAUGCCAGAGCUAAGCUGCGAGGGAUGCCAGGCUACUUGGACUGCAGAAGUGGAUGACCUUAUACAAAGUGGCUACCGGCCCGCCACCCUCAAUUUUGCAACAGUUUAUGAGGAAGACUUAUUUUUUACUUUUGAGAGCAUGAAGAUGGCAUCACCCGGAAUGUCCUGUCAGGCAUUUCUACGAAUGCUUGAGAAGCGGACUGUUCGCUUGGCCGUGUCAGUAUUUCUCUCUUUAUUCUGCAGCAUCCUACAUUUUUUAUGUUUUGAUAUUAGAAGUUCUUUUUCUAAUUGUUUUGCGCUGUUGUUGUUUUUUUAAUAGACUGGAAAGCUCUCAUCUGACAGCUUUCAGAAAAGCUUUUUUGAAUGGGCUGCUGUUCAAUAUGAA